GACGAACGCUGGCGGCGUGCCUAACACAUGCAAGUCGAGCGGAAGUAGUUUGAUGGUAACUGAUAGCUGCUUUAGCGGCGGACGGGUGAGUAACACGUGGGCAACCUGCCUUGGAGUGGGGGAUAACACCGGGAAAUCGGUGCUAAUACCGCAUAACAUACAUUGACUGCAUGGUCGAUGUAUCAAAGGAGCAAUCCGCUUUAAGAUGGGCCCGCGGCUGAUUAGCUAGUUGGUAAGGUAACGGCUUACCAAGGCGACGAUCAGUAGCCGACCUGAGAGGGUGACCGGCCACACUGGAACUGAGACACGGUCCAGACUCCUACGGGAGGCAGCAGUGGGGAAUAUUGCGCAAUGGGGGGAACCCUGACGCAGCAACGCCGCGUGGAGGAAGAAGGUCUUCGGAUUGUAAACUCCUGUCUUCAGGGACGAUAAUGACGGUACCUGAGGAGGAAGCCACGGCUAACUACGUG
rnacentral:rRNA from 2 species